rnacentral:rRNA from 1 species
CACGUAGGGGGCAAGCGUUGUCCGGAUUUAUUGGCGUAAAGAGCUCGUAGGCGGCUCAGUAAGUCAGGUGUGAAACCUCCAGGCUCAACCUGGAGACGCCACCUGAUACUGCUGUGGCUAGAGUCCGGUAGGGGAGCGUGGAAUUCCUGGUGUAGCGGUGAAAUGCGCAGAUAUCAGGAGGAACACCAGCGGCGAAGGCGGCGCUCUGGGCCGGAACUGACGCUGAGGAGCGAAAGCGUGGGUAGCAAACAGG